rnacentral:rRNA from 1 species
AGUGAACGCUGGCGGUAGGCCUAACACAUGCAAGUCGAACGGCAGCACAGUAAGAGCUUGCUCUUACGGGUGGCGAGUGGCGGACGGGUGAGGAAUACAUCGGAAUCUACUUUUUCGUGGGGGAUAACGUAGGGAAACUUACGCUAAUACCGCAUACGACCUACGGGUGAAAGCAGGGGAUCUUCGGACCUUGCGCGAUUGAAUGAGCCGAUGUCGGAUUAGCUAGUUGGCGGGGUAAAGGCCCACCAAGGCGACGAUCCGUAGCUGGUCUGAGAGGAUGAUCAGCGACACUGGAACUGAGACACGGUACAGACUCCUACGGGAGGCAGCAGUGGGGAAUAUUGGACAAUGGGCGCAAGCAUGAUACAGCCAUACCGCGUGGGUGAAGAAGGCCUUCGGGUUGUAAAGCCCUUUUGUUGGGAAAGAAAAGCAGCAGGUUAAUACCCCGCUGUUCUGACGGUACCCAAAGAAUAAGCACCGGCUAACUUCGUG